UCCAGAAGCUGUCAGGUUCUCUGGCGCAC
rnacentral:piRNA from 1 species